CCAUUUUCAACUUUCAUUUAUCUAUUGAUCCAAGGUUACAAAACUUAUCUUACUACAUAAAAAUUCACUCUAUUAUAUCUCAUAACCCCUUAAACAUAUUUGAUUCAUUUUUUACUAAUUUUUUUAACCAAAAUAAAUUUUAAAAGUAAAUCGUUUUUUAAACCCCUCUGUUGACAUGAUUCCCUUUCUCUCUCCCCUGGUCAACUUCCCAAACCCUCGCUAACUUUAAAGCAUGAUUCACCCUCAGGUAUACUAUAAAGCAUAGGCCUCCAGCCCAUGUGUUUAUUAUCACCAUUUGUGUUCACGAGCUGCUCGAUCAUUUGAUCAAUGGACAUACCAUAAAGCUCCAUCUUUCCCAAGAGCUCCUCAAGCCGUUUCUUACCGAUCCUUGUUCAUGAGCUGCUUGAUCAUCUUAUCAACGGACAUGCCAUGAAGCUUCAUCUUUCCCAAAAGCUCCUCAAGCCGUUUGUUAUCCUUAUCUUCACCUCUUUAGAGUCCGCACCGUCUUCUUCUCUCUAGAACCCAAUUUGCUCUCUCUCUCUACCCAAUCUCCCCACUGAAAUCCCAAACUCUCUCUCUAGAACCCAUUUUGCUCUCUCUCUCUCUCUACCCAAACACUCUCUCUCUCAACUGAAAUCCCAAACUCUCACAAAACCCAUUUCGGUCACUCUCACAAAAACCCCAAAUACAGCUUCCAAAAGGACCAAAGCUUCAUCAUUUUCUCUCGCUACCACAGGGGACGUGAUAUGCUCCACUCCCAGCUCAAACAAAAUUCAAGUAUAGAAAUCUCUCUAUUUCAGACCGAACCACACUCAUGUGAACCUACCAUUUUCAACAAGAGAGAAACUUCAUCAGUGGCUGCUUUUUUGUGUUUGUCUCUCAACAAGAUGAGAUUUUUUUUGUGUUUCUCUCUCUAUAAAUGCUUUCUCUCUCCAUAAACCUAUGUAAUAGAGAUGAUGAUUAAGAAAUGACGAGGUGAGAUUGUUUUAUAUGUGGAGAGAGGGAAGAUGACCUGGAAUGAUGGGAGAAGAGACUGUUUUUUGUAUUUCUCUUUCUAAAAAUGCUUUAUCUCUCUAAAAACCUAUGUAACAUAGAUGAGGAUUAAAAAAUGAUGAAGUGAGUUUUGUUUUAAUAUGUGGAGAGAGAUAGAGAGAAGAGGGUCUCAAAUGAUGAAAGGAAUAGACUUGUUUUUUUUUCUCUCUAAAAACCUAUGUAACAGAGAUGAGGAUUACCUACCAAACCCAAAACCUCAAUGACAGGGAUGAGGAUCACCUCCCCAACCCACGCUAACUUUUAAACGGUUUAGAGUUCAAAAAAGAUGCAUUUUUUAAUUAAAUAAUAAUCUUAUGAGGCAUUCUCACA
rnacentral:lncRNA from 1 species